ACUCUAUGAUUUGGACAUUUGCGUAUGAUCUCUUUAUACCGGUCCCAUGCUUUAAUGACUUAUUCCCCAUGUUGUUGAAGAAAAGUGAGGAUUGUGUUUCUGGGCUU
rfam:Helianthus annuus linkage group 3, whole genome shotgun sequence.